rnacentral:sRNA from 1 species
GGCCUAAACCCCGCGAUUUCCUCGCCGGGCAUGGUCGAAAAUCGUCAGGAACAUAGAGAACCCGUCAUAGGGCGUUCCUGACGUUAUGCAGGGAAACUUGCAUAAGGCCGAAAGGCCU